rnacentral:rRNA from 1 species
CGGGUGAGUAACGCGUGAGGAACCUGCCUCAAAGAGGGGGGAAACAGUUGGAAACGACUGCUAAUACCGCAUAAGCCCACGGCUCGGCAUCGAGCAGAGGGAAAAGGAGUGAUCCGCUUUGAGAUGGCCUCGCGUCCGAUUAGCUAGUUGGUGAGGUAACGGCCCACCAAGGCAACGAUCGGUAGCCGGACUGAGAGGUUGAACGGCCACAUUGGGACUGAGAUACGGCCCAG